ACAACCUUUCACAGCAAUAUCAUUGCAUGUCAUUUGGGGUGGGAAAUGACUUGUAAUUUCGUCAUGGAAUUGGCAUUAUUUGAAAAUGUGGCUUUGAAGAAAUAUCUGUUGUUUUGUAAACCACUCAAAUUAUACUUUACAAAGAUUUUAGGGAAGCAAUGACACCCUCAUCUGACCAGCUUCCUGAAUCGCAGCCAUCAGAGGUCCAGAGCCAAGAGAACAAUGCCUCUAAACAGGGUCCCAGAGACAGGCCCGUGGUGCAGGCUCUAUGGCACAUGGCCCUGAGGGGAGCUGAGGCUCUCUGCAAGACUCUGACUGGCUCAGAAAGAGAAGGUUCAGAUGAGGGGAUGCCCCAGCAAGACU